ensembl:lncRNA
GAAGACCCUUCAGCCCACCACAUAGGACUGUUUAUAAUUUCUUCUUUCCUCCCAGGCUGCCCAUAAUCAAAAGGGCACACACGUUGGAGCCAGCCAGAUCUUGGGGCUGCCACAUACUAGCUGUGUGACCUCGGGUAAUUUUACUUAACUCACCUAAUUCCAAAGUCCCUGUACUGGAAUAAUUUUAUCUACAUCCUAGGUUUUCCAUAAGGAUUCAAGCGCGUAUGUAAAGAGCCUUAAACAGUUUGUAGCAUAUAGCUGACACUCAAAAAGAGGUAGCCGAUUAUAGUGCUCACCAGACGUUUAUUGAACCCUUUCUGGGUGCCAGGCCCAGGGUUGAGGGAUUUACAGGCAUUAUUUCAUUUAAUCCUCCCAACAAUCCUGGGAGGUGUCCCUACUGUGCUCCUCAUGGGCCAGACACUGUGUUAAGUCCUUCACACCCGAACAAAUCAUUAACUCCUGACAACAGCUGGAGCACAGAGGUUACAGAGCACGGCCAAGGAUGCACAGCUCUGUUCCUCAAUCCACGCUGGAUGGCUGGGUGCUGCUGCCCUCCAAACAGGGCAGUCCCUGAGAUGAUGGUGGCACGGUGUGACGUUCCUUGGGCUCCAUCCACCUGAAGGCAUAAACAGAGGGUGGAAUCCAGGCAACUGAAUGGAACCGAAUCAAGAUUUGGGGACGGUUUUACGGUGGGGAGAGCUUCAGGAGGAAGUGCGGCAUGAGGGCUUAGAGGACACCUCUGCCCUGUUUGCUGGCACAUCUGGGAAGGGACAAGGCAGCAGCCACAGCUGCCACAUUCCUGAUCUUGCCAAGGACUCGCUCUGGUUCCUGUGAUGGGCACCUGGGCUCUGGAAGGUCAGGCAAACCCAGACAGUGCUGGUUCUCCCCGAAGCUGGGAACCAAGAAAACAAUGACUGGAAAGUAAUGAUCUACAGGCUAUUCUUGCUGUAAUUUUUCCACAGAAACAUACUAUGUAGAAAGCUAAGUAAAUUCUUGGAAACCUGGAAAUCCCCCAAAACUGGUAGAAGCUGCUUUUUUUUUUCCUACUAUUUAAUGAAAAAGAGAUAGAGAAAAACCACAUUUCUUGGAUUUAAUUUUGUUCACACAAACUUUGUUUUUGUAAAAGAAAAACUGGCGCUGUUUAAGCAUGAAACUGUCAUUCCAGUAACUCUUUAAAAAGUUGUCUAUAAUUGUGUGGCUUGGAAAAUUAAUUUCUUUCCAGAUGAAGAAACCCGAAACAGAUCUUUUGAGUGAAAAUUAUUGGCCCUCGCCCCCCUCAGGGGGCAGAUGGAACAAUGGGAAGGAGCAGAGGAGCGUGUUGGACUCCCAGCCAAACAAAAGGGCUGCCCGCAACUUGCCUAAAAUAGAAAGUAAAAGUUAGCCACAGCCUGGCGCCUGGCAGGCCCCUCUUCGGAGCCCUCUGUGGAGCAGCGAGGACCUCGGCAGGAUGCUGUCCCAGAGCCUCUCUGGAGAAGUACAUAAGCUCCGGAGGCAGUAAAAGCAGAAGCUCAAGCCCCCUGACUCCGCUUCCCACCUGAGAGGCGCAGGUUUGCCCAUCAAAUUCACCUGACACGGGAGUGGCUUUGCUUUGUUCUGCUGCAGAAAUUCAAAUCGCAAACGUUUUGGUUCUUUUUAAAGAUCGUUGGAGAAUGGUACAUAUUACAAGAGCUUUAUUUAAUGGAGGAGUUAUUGGCGAGGUAAUAAACUGCUAAUUUGGGGUCAAGCCUUGCCUGCGAACUGUGAAGGACUUGGAUUCAAAUCCCAGCUUUGCCACUUCCUGUCCGUGUGCCCUCAGCCUCUCCGAGCUCCGGGUCAAACGGCGAGGGUAAUUCCUGUCAUCCUGGUGUGGUGUGAGGAUCAGCAAUCCGGGUGAGGAAGGGCCGGCCUGCACGUAGGCAGGGCUUAGGGACCUCCGCUUCCAUCCCGCUCUGGCCAAGAGAAGGCAGGUGGCUCGCUGCACCUCGCCAGCUCACCUGAGAGGCUGGCAAAGGGAGGGAGGGGGAAGGAGGCAGUGAGAGAAGAAAGGAGAGGGUGGGGGUAGGAAGGAAAGGAAACCCCCAAGCAGGUUCUAAUCCUCACAUAGCGUCUUAUUAAUGUUCCUCACGGAAUUUGCACCCCAACUGCCCGGCUGACCGUAACACGGAUGCCCGCAUCCCCUCGUGCGCUCGCAAACGGUUCACACGAAACCGACACGGCAAAGUCACGCCCUCGCGCUGAAGCCGACUUUCCGAUUUUGAAAGCUUGUCUCUCCCAUAUAAAAGGCUUUGUUUUUUCUUUUCGCGCGCUUCUGCCUCCCCCGGCCGGCCCUCCCGCCCCUCCCUCACGGCGCGCACACAAAAGAAGCCCGGAGCGGAGGUACCGGAACCUGCGGGCUUGUUUACCACUCGGGCGGCCGGCGAGGCGCUGCCCGGCGCCGCCACCUACCGGCGGGAGACGGCGCUGCGCCCGGGCGCGGGCCAAGCGCUGCGGGCCGAUGACCCAACGCCGCAGAAUGCCACCCAGAAGGCUGGGCAAGUCAGGAGACCUCACUGGCUGGUCUGCGGACCUCUUGCGAAGGUCUCCGGGGGCCCGGGGCCGGAAGGCAAUGGCUGCCCCUUCUCACUGCCUCCUCCCAAACGCAGGUCCUGCCCACUGAUGAUGGGUACGUUUCUGGAGGGCAAUUGGAAGAUGUUUAUCAGGAUUUUAAAUGUUUGCCGUUUGCCUAUUUCAUUCCACUUCCAAGUUGUAUCCUAGGCAGGUAAUGAGGAGCAUGUAUUCAGAUGAUGGUCACAGCCCUGCUGAUGACAGCAGCAACAGUUGGCCUUCACUGAGCAUCUACUAUGCGCUAGAAACUGUUAUAAAUGUCUUACAAAUAUCUACUCACAACGUCCCCGUGCAGUGGGUAUUACUAAUACCCCUAUUUUAUAGAGGAGGAAUCUGCGCUCAGAGGUUAGGUUUCCACUCAAGAGCACCC